AUUGGCUCCCUACUCUGAGGCUGAGCCCACCCCCUCUCCCUCGUUUUGGCCGAGGGGCCGCCAAUCAAGGUGACUGACGUGUGGUUCCUCCUCUUCCAUCGGUUCCUCCUCCGGCCUGAUAACCUCCUGACCUUUACGGACUUGGGACUCAACUCACCCCGCCAGUGUUUGUAGGACAAGUACAGUAACUCAGAAACAUCCCUCUCUUCUUUGACCUUUCACACAUUUUUAGGGGAACAAAUGUAUUUUGGGAAACUAAAUUUGGGUGUCAGCAUAAAUUUCAAAUAACAUAAGCAACACAUGACCUUAUUUAGACUGAACUUGUGCUCAUUACGUUUUAACCUUUUAAAUAUUUGACUUAUUUGAGGUUUUAUUUCAGGGUUUUUUAAUCUAAUAAACCUCAUAAAAGAUGCAUUAUUUGUUGCAUUGUGACUAUUCAGUCAGUUAUUUACUUCCUCAAUAAACAGUAUCACUAAUGUAUGGAGCCCAGGAGGAGCCAUGGAGAAAAAAACUGACUAAUCUGUGCUCUUCAUUUAAUAAUUUGUGGUCUCGAUUUGAUAAUUUGUGCUUUCUGCUCUCAUACGUGACUGACGUUACAGGGGAAAUGUCUUCGUCACUCUCUUCAAACUUCUGGCUGACUGGAUGCAUUUGGUGCCCUCCACAACAGGGAAACAGACAAAAUAGAUAAAUCAAGAGCACUAAUUCAGUAAUCCAUGGGCAAGAAUUAUUAAAUCAAGAGCACAAAUUAGUUGUUUUUUUUCUCCGUAGCCCUUUCUGGGCUCCGUAGUCAUACCUAUGAUUUUUACAACAUCUUCAACAAACUUCUCUCUGUAAAAUAACUU